rnacentral:rRNA from 1 species
GGAUCAAUAUGUUGGUCGUACCAUUGGUACGUACUGGCAUUAUUGAUUCCUACCUUCUGAAGAAUCUUGAUGUCAUUAAUUUGGUGUCUUGGGAAAUCAGGACUGGUUUUACUUUGAAAAAUUAGAGUGUUUAAAGUAGGCUCGCGCUUGAAUACAUUAGCAUGGAAUAAUGAAAUAGGACGUUUGAUUCUAUUUUGUUGGUUUCUAGGAUCGAUGUAAUGA